AAUAAGGACCAUAACUUUACAGAGGUAACCUGCUGUUCCUGGCUGUGGUCAGCCAUUUUGGGGCAAAGCUGCACCGGCCCAGGUUCAUUGCUAUGGGCAGUUUCCUCAUGGCUGUAGGAUCCUUCCUCACAUGCCUGCCACACUUCUUCAUGGGACGGUUGGACCCAGGUUCAGAGAAGAGACCAGAAGAUGAAGCAGGGGUUCCAACCAGUGUCUCCACCCCUCAAGGGCCCACUUAACUGCCAAAAGCUCCCGGUUACCUACAUCGUAGUUGCUUUCCGCUAACGAGAACCUCUUGGAGAGAAAGGAGCAUGGGUGGAGUUUCUUGUCCUUUCUUGUCAUCGAGGUGAACAAAGACGAACCGGUUCAACAUAUCCCUAAGAGGUGUCAUUGAUCAAUGCCUGAAAGACUGCCGAUUUUAAGCGUUGCGGAGGUCCAGUUUGGUGAAGAAUUGGACUCCUAGGGCCAACUCCAAGGCGGCGGUCUUCGGGUAGGGGGUAACGAUUCUUGAUCGUAAUCUUUUUCAGCCCUCUGUAAUCGAUGCAAGGACUGAAGUUUGGGUCAGAGACAGAGAGACAAGGGAUGUGUUUAGACAGGCAGCCCAAUUAUAUUUUUCCCACUAAUUGGUCUUUUGACCAAUCACAUUAGAUAUUUUCACAUCAUCUCUUUUUCAGAGCAUAUCUGAUUGGUCAAAAGACCAAUUACAAAAAUAAAUGACUGAAUUGGGCAGCCUGUCUCAACAAAGCCAUAGAAACCUGGACAUGCUCCUACUGAAAUGUUCCAUCCUGUCAGUGCUGAUGUUGAAUGGCAUUAAAUACACUUUUUGUUGUUGUCUCCCAUCCCCUAUGGGUUUGUUGAAUGAAACUCCAGCACACUGGUAGCACUAAAGGCGUGCGAGUAUAACUUUUCCAAGUGAGUUGAACCUCCCUCCCGGUGCGGUGGGUAUAUCCCUGGGAGGUUUCAUAGUCACAAACCAAACGCAAAUGGUCUAAUUCAAAACCUAACUUUUUUCACUUUAUAAAUGAGUUUAAACAAUAUGGCAACACUUUAACUAAAAUGAAAAACAAAAAGGCAAUUCAAACAUAUUAUUAAUGAAUAUGAUUUGUUUGUUUAGGAUUCCUGGCAAUGUAAAUAGUUUUUUUGUAUGCUUGUUUGCAUGUGAAUAUUCCUCUUUUGUUUGUUGAUAUUUGUUAAUAAUAAAUAAAUAAAAAGAUAGAGCAUGAUGCUGUA